rnacentral:rRNA from 1 species
UACGGGGGGAGCAAGCGUUGUUCGGAUUUACUGGGCGUAAAGGGCGCGUAGGCGGCGCAACAAGUCACUUGUGAAAUCUCCGGGCUUAACCCGGAGCGGCCAAGUGAUACUGUCGUGCUAGAGUGCGGAAGGGGCUACUGGAAUUCUCGGUGUAGCGGUGAAAUGCGUAGAUAUCGAGAGGAACACCGGUGGCGAAGGCGGCGACCUGGGUCGACACUGACGCUGAGGCGCGAAAGCGUGGGGAGCAAACAGG